ACACUCACCUAAAGGAUUAUUAGGAACACCUGUUCAAUUUCUCAUUAAUGCAAUUAUCUAAUCAACCAAUCACAUGGCAGUUGCUUCAAUGCAUUUAGGGGUGUGGUCCUGGUCAAGACAAUCUCCUGAACUCCAAACUGAAUGUCAGAAUGGGAAAGAAAGGUUUACAAAGAAUGGUGUGAAAAGGGAAAAACUUUGACUGAAAUAACCACUCGUUACAACCGAGGAAUGCAGCAAAGCAUUUGUGAAGCCACAACACACACAACCUUGAGGCGGAUGGGCUACAACAGCAGAAGACCCCACCGGGUACCACUUA